AAAUUGUCGGCCUAAUUAGAUCCCUGCGAGGAAGGGUUGCCAACUAUUACAAACCGAGUUGUCAAACUUCGUAAAAGUUAUCAAACUUCGGAUAUUCUCUGCGAUUUAGCCUUAAACGUUAAUCAUCAAGGAAUUAUCAAUUUCAUUCCGUCCGUGACUAUCCCCGAUAGUUGAAGUGCGCGUCGGGUAGUUAAAAGUAAAGUGUUUGUUUUAAAAGUAUAAGGUGUAUAUAGUUAAUAUGUGGUUUUUUCUUUAUAGAUCUUAAAGCUAGUUAAAACUUAAAACUAGUUAAAACUUAGAAGGCUAAUAGUACGGUUUUGUGAAUUAGUACGAUUUGUAGUACGGUUAGUAAGAAAAUGUGGUUUAAAAGAAGAAAGGUGAAUAAUGCGCUUUUGUUAAACAGGUUACUUCAAUAGAACCAUUCAACUAGAGGUUAAUUCGCCCUUAACAAAAGGAAUUCUCAAGAAAAGGUCCACUUCUGGGCCUUUUCUUUUCUACCUUCGGUGUAAAACCCGGAGGGCUCUAUUUCGUGUUCUCGCAGGACCGUCCACGUACAUCAGGUCGCUUUACGUUGGUUCGUCGGUCACGACCCACGCUAAGCCGUCGCCAUCUUGAAAGCCACGGACAAAAGGAAUCCAACAAUAGCCUAUUCACUGUGACGCCGGGUGGAACAAUAGACCGUCCCCGACUACGCCAUUUUGGGGAUUGGUUGCCCACCUACCCUACUGGAGUCAAGAAGCUCGUCGUAGUGUCCCAUCACACCCCGGCGGCCACCUCGAAUUGCCGAUUGCCCUGCCAACCCCGAAGAAAGUUGACCGCUAUCGACCGAGUAAAGGUCAUACGGUUGAAGGACCGUUAGAAGCCCCCCACAAUACCGGCCGAGGGCCCUCGGAUGCAUGCAUGCCACCGUGAACCACCAAGCUAGCCACCGAUCCGCACCACCGCUGUCCACGCCACCACCUUCUGCACCACCGCUGUCCACGCCACCACCGUCUGCACCACCGCCGUCCACCGUUCCGAUGUAAAAGCGCAA